GAACGUGACGAAGCGGGGCUGCGGGUGGGCAGCUGGAGGGGGUGACAGGGUCUCCCCAGUCCCGGACCGGUGAGAGCAGUGCAGAGCCUUUGGACGACACCAGACCUCUGCUGGGGUUCAUACUCUGAACUCAAGGCUGGAACCUGGAGACAGGAACUGAAGCAGAGACCAUGGAGGAACACUGUUAACUGGCUUGCAUCCCUUCCCUCGGUUAGCUAGCUUUAUUAUACAACCCAAGCCCACCUACCUAGGCAUGUACCACCCACAGUGAAUUGGAUCCAGCUACAUCAAUUAGCAACCAAGAAAAUGACUCUGAAGAUAUGCCCACAGGCCCAUCUGGUGGAGGAAAUUCCUCAACUGUGAUGUCCCUCUUCCUAAAUGUCAAGUUUGACAGGUGAAUACGACAUUCCACCCCUUGUCAACUUUGGCACACAAGCACACCUCCAAUACAAAAGACACUCCAGCUGGACAGUGGUGGUGCACGCCUUUAAUUCCAGCACUCAGGAGGCAGAGGCGGGCAGAUCUCUGAGUUCCAGGCCAGCCUGGUCUACAAAGCAGGACAGAGAAACCCUGUCUCAACAAAACAAAACAAACAAACAGAAAAUUGCAAUGACUUGAUAGUCGAGGUUAUCUUUUUUUUUUUUUAAUAUCCAGUCUCUUAAAUCUGUGCUGCUGUAAAAUCCAAAAUAGUUACAUGCUUUCUUAUUUCAAAAGGGAAGAACCAGGACACAGAUAUUAUCAGAUCAAGCAAAACCCAACAUCCAGUAGUGAUAUCAAAGCCUGCAUCUCAGGGUCCAGCAUCUGGGACAUCUUCUGGCCUUCCAUCCACAGCACACACAGCUUGUCUUGUGGGCUUAAGUCAACUCCUUUCCACAACUGUUGCUGUCCUUUGGCAUUCAUCUCCAAUAUCCUGAGGUUUCCAUUGCAACUGAGACUGCAUCUUCACCACUGACCUCCUGGCCUCCCUUCAGGGACUCUGAGCCUGCCACAUGGUACCAAGCCUCAGCUGUUCCCAUGACCUUCAAAACCAGUACCAUGUGGGAAGACUCUUACACACUGUUUGCCAAGUUCUGCUGACAGUUUGAAAUGUAGCCUUGGCUCCUACUAGGCCACAGCUUCUGUAUGGUGACCCUGAGAAAUACUUCCCAGGAGACUUUGCCUCAAUGAUAUUGGUUUCUUAUUCAUCACCGCUGAUAUUUCAGCCCUAGCUAACCAACAUGCAUUGUUCCAUUAAAGCAAAAGUUUUACUUCCA